UGGCAUUCGAGUGGCGGACGGGUGAGUAACGCGUGGGUAACCUGCCUUACACAGGGGGAUAACAGUUAGAAAUGACUGCUAAUACCGCAUAAGACCACAAAACCGCAUGGUUUGGUGGUAAAAACUCCGGUGGUGUAAGAUGGGCCCGCGUCUGAUUAGGUAGUUGGUGGGGUAACGGCCCACCAAGGCGACGAUCAGUAGCCGGACUGAGAGGUUGACCGGCCACAUUGGGACUGAGAUACGGCCCAGACUCCUACGGGAGGCAGCAG
rnacentral:rRNA from 1 species